rnacentral:rRNA from 1 species
UGGGGAAUAUUGCACAAUGGGCGCAAGCCUGAUGCAGCCAUGCCGCGUGUAUGAAGAAGGCCUUCGGGUUGUAAAGUACUUUCAGCGAGGAGGAAGGCAUUAAGGUUAAUAACCUUAGUGAUUGACGUUACUCGCAGAAGAAGCACCGGCUAACUCCGUGCCAGCAGCCGCGGUAAUACGGAGGGUGCAAGCGUUAAUCGGAAUUACUGGGCGUAAAGCGCACGCAGGCGGUCUGCACGAAUGUCGGAAAUCCCGGGUCGAAAAUCCCCCUGGGGGCACU